UGCCAGUCAGCAGCCGCGGUAACACCGGCACCCCGAGUGGUAGCCACUAUUAUUGGGCCUAAAGCGUUCGUAGCCGGUUUGGUAAAUUCUUGGGUAAAUCGUACCGCUUAACGGUGCGGAUUCCGGGGACACUACCAGACUUGAGACCGGGGGAGAUCAGAGGUACUUGUGGGGGAGCGGUGAAAUGUUGUAAUCCUGCAGGGACCACCAGUGGCGAAGGCGUCUGAUCAGAACGGCUCUGACGGUGAGGAACGAAACCCUGGGGCGCAAACGGGAUUAGAUACCCCGGUAGUCCAGGGCGUAAACGCUGCUGACUUGGUGUUGGAGAUCCUACGAGGAUGUCCAGUGCUGGCGCGAAGGUAUUAAGUCAGCCGCCUGGGGAGUACGGUCGCAAGACUAAACUAAAGAAGGU
rnacentral:rRNA from 1 species